GGCUCACCUACCGAACAGGACAAGACACAGCAAAUUGUGACACUUGUCGAAACAGCGCAUGCAUCAUUUACAGUGUGGAGCUGGACUUUAAGCUGCAGGAGGAUAAAAUACAGCCCCUGAUUAAGAGACUUUACCCUCUGGAUAGCCAACAAUGCCCCGCUCUGCCUUACUCCAAUGAAGUGUUCACAUCCACCCCCAAGCGCAAGUCCAAGACAGAGUCCAAAAAGCAUUCUCGUUGGAAACUUUGGUUCCUUUGAAUAAUACAUGAAGGCUUUGGAAACAGCCUUUUUGUUGGGCACAUUAAUACCCCUGUUGUUCUCUAAAGGGAUGAGGGAAUAUUCAGAGGGAAUAAUCAACACAUGAGGAUGCAUAAGGACAGAAGCCAGUUCAUUUGGGGAUCUAAUUUGAGACUGCACAUUAUGUCAGCAAGGGGACAGCAGAGACAAAUAACAAUUUAAGGUCUGCCAAACCUAUUCCUGGCUUGUUCGCUGAAGACGAUGGACACACACCUGCAAACAACUAGAGCAUAUUGCUUGGCCACAAGAGGAGGCGCCAUGUGGAGGGCCUUUUUUAAGUGAAGCUAUAACCUUUUGAAUGGACAUCAGCCCCACCUACGGCAAAGCACAAACAUUUGACUAUUGAGAAGGAAAUGCGUCAAAGACUGAAAUACCGUUCAGUACAUGGUAGUGUGUCAGCGCUGUUCUUAUUACCCUGUCUCUUCUCUCCUCUUCCUCCUUUUCUCUUGCUCAGUUUGUCUGUCCAACUGAAUGUCUGCCUGCAUUUGUUAAUAACCCCUGUUUCCUCCCUCUCUUUCAAUCUAUGUCCCUUUAUCUUUCUCUGCCUUUCUAUCUUUCUCUCCAUUUAGCUCACUGUGCAACUAAACAACUAGCCAGCCAACUUUGCCUCAGUCAUCCCGUCCUUUUCUGCUGGCUACACUGACACAUAAUGAUCAGAAUCUAUUUUAGAAUAUCUGCUUGUUUUUAGCAAAGUAUUGUGACAUUUUAAAAUGUAUGAGUGCCUGCUCUUGAAGCAGGUCAAAUUGUUGAAAAAAAUAUCUUGGGUUAGGUCACAUUUUUACAAACAUAUAUAAUGUUUUGACUAAUUCCAAGGCAGAAUAUUUUCUAUUAUAUCUGAGAAAGUGUCUGGGUUUUUUGGAGUUUAUUCUUGAAUUUCAAACAAAAAGUAAAGGCUAUUUUGACAUAUCUAUAUAAGUCUGCUAAGAGUUUGCCUUGCCUAUCAGUCAUUCAUUGGGUCACAGUAAAGCUCUGAUGUGACGUCUUGAACCGAAUCUACUUCUGAGCAAUUUGUUUCAUGCCCAGUUGGCUUACACUUGAAGUGUGUUUUGUACAAAUAAUUUAUUUUGCCAUUCCAUCUUGUGAAAUAGAACGGUUUUUUUCUUUUUUAAUUUGCAGAACACCAUUACAAAACACAAAACAUCUGUUUAACAACCCACACAAACAACUGCGCACUGAACUUGCAAGAGUAGAAGGGCUAUACAGUGCGAAUGGAGUAUGGUAGCAAUCUUACAGCAGAAAAGACAUGUAGCCACCAGCUUUGGUAAAGUACAAAAAAAAACAGUGAUGAUGUAGCAAUGGUACCGAACAAAGCAGGUAUUUACUGAAGUCUUAAAGUGAUUUUAUAACAGCAGCUCUUAUGUAGAUGCUGGUACUGUUUAAUGUCGGAGAAAUGUCAGGAAGACUCAUACUGGCCUCCCAUCGUUAGACCACGCAGUAGAUUGCAGCAUUCAGGUCACCAAUUUCCAUGCAAAGAUCUGUACCUUGAGAAAGUGCAAUUUAGUUAUUAUGUGAAAUAAUAUGCAUUUUUCUACUGUUUCUAC